AUAAACAAGCCUGAUCUUGUCUGAUCUUGAUCCUCUCUGAUCUUGGAAGCUAAGCAGGGUCAGCCCUGGUUAGUACUUGGAUGGGAGACCACCUAGGAAGACCAGGUGCUGUAGGUG
rnacentral:rRNA from 1 species